UACGGAGGGAGCUAGCGUUGUUCGGAAUUACUGGGCGUAAAGCGCACGUAGGCGGCUUUGCAAGUUAGAGGUGAAAGCCCGGGCUCAACCCCGGAAUUGCCUUUAAGACUGCAUCGCUCGAAUCCAGGAGAGGUGAGUGGAAUUCCGAGUGUAGAGGUGAAAUUCGUAGAUAUUCGGAAGAACACCAGUGGCGAAGGCGGCUCACUGGACUGGUAUUGACGCUGAGGUGCGAAAGCGUGGGGAGCAAACAGGGAUUAAGAAACCC
rnacentral:rRNA from 1 species